rnacentral:rRNA from 1 species
CUAUAUACCGCCGUCGCCAGCCUACCUUAUGAAAGAAACAAAGUGAGCUAAAUAGUCAUACACUAACACGACAGGUCGAGGUGUAACUUAUGAUAGGGCCUAAGAUGGGCUACAUUUUCUAACACAGAAAACACGAAUUAAACUAUGAAAUAAGGAACUGAAGGCGGAUUUAGCAGUAUACUAAGAACAAGACACCUAGUCGAAACCAACGCAAUGAGGUGCGUACACACCGCCCGUCACCCUCUGCAGUCAA